rnacentral:misc_RNA from 1 species
AAAGUCGUAACAAGGUCUUCGUAGGUGAACCUGCGAAGGGAUCAUUAACACGUUCCAAACCUAUUAUCAACCCAUCUGUGAACUCUUGUUACUGCCGAUAUGGCUGACCGCGAGUGUAUGGCGCAUACGACCGACUCAACGAUGUGAGGCGCACGCCGUCAUGGUGUGCUCCUGGUCGUAGUAUGCCUUGUGCUCUCCUGUCCACCCGACAGGGGAACAGCUGUCCUUGCGUGUCGGUCCGGCCCCCAUAUAUGCGCUUCGGCGGCCGUCAUCUGCUGUCGACUCGUAUAUCACCACACGCCCUGCGGCUCGUGCGUUGGUCCGCCAACCAGCGAGGCGCACUACAUCAAUUUAUCCAACAAACAAAUUGCUGCGUCGGCGUAUCAGUCGGCGUAUGCGAGAUGAAAACUAAACAGAGAACAACUCUUAGCAAUGGAUAUCUUGGUUCUC